AAACAGGUGGAUUGUGUGUGAGUUGCUAUAAGAUAUGUUUGAUAUUCUUGGUUGUAUUUUUAAUUCACCCAGGAGUCAAACAUAUUAUUAUAGAAGCGUCACGUGGCGGCUUUGCGACU
rnacentral:pre_miRNA from 15 species